UAAAUAUUAGUUUGGAUAUUACAUCCAUGCAAAGUCCAGACGAGAAAUUCUGGGAUAAGCUGCAUUAAGUUGAACAGAACACACCAUAUAACCCUUGAUCCAUUCUCAUGAAUCAUGAUAUAGGGCAGGAGCAAAAUGACUACACCUGGUUUUUCUUAUAACUAGAGCGGUUCGAAAAAAAGAGUCUUUAACUGGUAAGACCUACCUGCAACUGAUAGAAGCAUUUGUCCUACUAAAGUUCCUCCAGGAAAGGCUUGACAAUGCCAAUUUGACCAAGGGAGUUGCAAAAAAGCUACAUUACAUAUACUAACUACCUGAGCCAGGUGCUCCAUCUUUCAAUUCACAUUUUGACAACUACAGUAGGAGUCGUCUCAUCUGCUGCACAUUGACGCCAUCUAAUUGCCAUCCCUCUCAUCUUUCUUGGCAGUCGCUCCAGGAAUAUUCUGUUUCACAGGGGUUGUCUCAUCAUUCCUAUCAAGAGAUUCAAGCUCUACUUCCUCUGGAAUCACAGCAGGAAUAUUAUGCAGCUUAAAUGACAGGUAUGAAGCAUCCUGUAGGAGCUUUCUUUCCUGCAGAUACUUGUAAAGUUCAUCUCUCCAUCCUUUCUCAUUUGCUCGAUCAAUUUUUUUUUGCAACACUUCCAGCUCUCGAGCAAUCCCAUGCUUUGUGAUGUCCUCAUGAAGGAUUUUAGCUUUCUGUUCAAGCUCCACAAUUGUAAGCUUUUCAAGCAGACCCGCUUUCACCUUCUCCUGCAGAUCAUCACAUUCUUCCUUACAAAACUCAUCAUCAGAAAGCAUGGUCAAGCUAACAUCUCUGGCCAUAUUUGAAACUUGAAUUGAAGUCUCACUGUUGCAUUUAUCACUUGAUCUGAGCUUGAUUCCUGCAAUUUGCACAAGCUGAUGAGAGUUACGCUGCUCAUAAUCACGUGGAUCUAACUUGAGCCGAACAAAACUUCCUAUAAUCUUGGUUUCAACGGACUCAGGCUGCUUGAUCAUCUCCUGCACCAAGCUCCUCUUCAGGUAAACGAGUUUGAUAUUUUUAGGAAUCAAGGCUGCAAAUUGACUUUGUGCUGCACUUGAAUACCAAAUUGAGGACAUCUUCUUUUGUUCAACCUUUUUCUCAGUUUUAGGAGCCACCAAAAUUUCUGUGUCAUCGACUUCGAGAUCAUGAUCAAGCUCAUCCUUUUGUAAUUGCUCCUCAUUUUCAAGAAAAUGGCUUUCAAGGAGGCUAAAUAUUCUGUGUCUGUUUACCACUUUCUUCCCAAAAACAGCUUGUAACCGAGCAUCACAAAGGAUUCUUCUCUUUUUAACUGGAUGGAUUAGGUUAUGUUCUUUUAUAUAUUUGGUUACUAUCGAUGUCACAUCAUAUUGGGAUAAUUUUUCUCUGGUAUCUUGCCCAACAAACUGAAGAAAGUCAAUUAGAGUUUUUGAUCCCCAUCCAACAAAUACUUUUUUCUUUAGAUUGACACUUCUUUGCAUCUUUGUUUUAUGCUGUAUACAUCUCUUCUUUUUAAGCCUUUUCUUCUGAGAUUCUCUGUCACUGAAAUCUUCAUUGUCUGAAGAAAUCUGAUCAUCCUCUUCUUCACUGUGUUCGUCCUCUUCUUCACUAUGUUUAUCUGAAUCAGAGCUAAUUUGGCUAAUCUUCGCCUUGUUUAGUUUAGCCUUACCAGCAAGGAGACUAUUCUUGUCAAAUCCUUCUUUUUCUUUUACUAUCUCGUAAUACUCCUUGAAAAGGCCCUCGUAUGUUUCCCGAUCUCUGAGGUCUACGCUUUCCCCAUCAGAAUCAAUACUUUUGUCUUCUUCCACAAGCAAUGCGAGCUUUAGGCAGUUAUUGCAGAAUCCAUGCUUCCCUUUAAGAAGGACAAAAUUGAUACGACCAAUGCAGCGAUAGCAUACAGCUCUAUCACAACAAUAACACUGAUAAUUUGAACUUCUCUUGCAAACUAAGCAUGUAUGCCAUCCACAUGUCCAAUAGAUAUCACUUGUCAAGACUGAGUCAUCUUUCCCCACACAUACAGGGUGAUAAGCUUUCAAACAGUCCCCAUAAUCACAAAUCAUAAGGUUUCCUCCGUCUUUGCAUUCGAAACACCAAUCUUCUGCAAUUUCUGUUUUGUUCAAAAUCGUCCUAUGCCUCUUCUUUGCCAUUUAUACCAGACACCUAUUUCACUUGUUCAACAUAAAACUGAAAACUUUUACUCUGCUAUAACAGAAACACAAAACUGAAAACUUUUACUCUGCU
rnacentral:misc_RNA from 1 species